AUUGAACGCUGGCGGCAGGCCUAACACAUGCAAGUCGAGCGAGCGGCGGCCGGGUGCGUAAUGUAUGGGGACUGCCCGAUCGAGGGGGAUAACUCCUGGAAACGGUGGCUAAUACCGCAUACUAUCGGAUAACCCAUAUGGGAUUAGCUAGUAGGUGGGGGAAAGGCUCACCGAGGCGACGAUCUCUAGCUGGUCUUAGAGGAUGAUCAGCCACAAUGGGACUGAGACACGGUCCAGAAUCCUACGGAGGCAGCAGUGGGGAAUAUUGCACAAUGGGCGCAAGCCUGAUGCAGCCAUGCCGCGUGUAUGAAGAAGGCCUUAGGGUUGUAAAGUACUUUCAGCGGGGAGGCGUUACCCGCAGAAGAAGCACCGGCUAACUCCGUGCCAGCAGCCGCGGUAAUAC
rnacentral:rRNA from 1 species